AAUCAUCAAAAACCCUUUUUCUGUAAACAGAAAAGGAUUUUUGGACUUGGAGGUUUAAUGCUUGCCUUUCGCUUUUGAAAGCGAGCUCCUCUCAAACGAAUUAGUGGGGUCCGCUUUGCUGGUCCUUGACGUGAUAAGAUGUUUCUACGUUUUGGAUUUGGCACUGUCCCUUUGGAUUCCUGCUCCUAACUGUCCUACUUGGACAAACGAUGGUGCUUCGGUCGCCGCCCGUCUACAUCGGCGGGGGGAGGGCUGGACCCACAAAAGAAAA
rnacentral:misc_RNA from 1 species